GGUUGUGGCUCAGUGGUACAGUGCUUGCCUAGCAUGAGUGAGGUUCUGGGUUCAAUCCUCAGAAUCA
rnacentral:tRNA from 1 species